CCUACGGGAGGCAGCAGUGAGGAAUAUUGGUCAAUGGGCGGGAGCCUGAACCAGCCAAGCCGCGUGAGGGAAGAAGGUACAGCGUAUCGUAAACCUCUUUUGUCAGGGACCAAAGGCGGGGACUAGUCCCCGGAUGAGGGUACCUGACGAAAAAGCAUCGGCUAACUCCGUGCCAGCAGCCGCGGUAAUACGGAGGAUGCGAGCGUUAUCCGGAUUUAUUGGGUUUAAAGGGUGCGCAGGCGGCCUGUUAAGUCAGCGGGAAAAGCCCGGGGCUCAACCCCGGCGAGCCGUUGAAACUGGCGGGCUGGAGUUGGAGAGAAGUACGCGGAAUGCGCGGUGUAGCGGUGAAAUGCUUAGAUAUCGCGCAGAACCCCGAUUGCGAAGGCAGCGUACCGGCUCCACACUGACGCUGAGGCACGAAAGCGUGGGUAUCGAACAGGAUUAGAUACCCGAGUAGUC
rnacentral:rRNA from 1 species